rnacentral:lncRNA from 1 species
GGGAGGUAUCAGCUGGAAUUUAGAGCCAUUGUACUGGGCCCCAGGUGUAUGGGGAUGUGGUCUACAGGAAGCUGGAGAGAAGAGACCACACACAUAUACUUUAUGUCAACUGAGAGCAGCUUGGAAAAUACCACAGUUCAGUUUUGCAGAAAUCCAUUUCACUGGUCCUGGUCACAGAGAAGGCCCUGCGAGUGGAGAGAGCACUGGACUUGAAAUAGAAUUACUCAAGUCAAAUCUGAGUCCUACCGGAAGAAAAUGCACUGUCUACUCCCUUGCUUCCGUCCCUAUCUUGCUGUGCUCCAGUUUCAGAAAGGCCUCCCAAGUCAUGUGCUCACCUCUGCAGCCGUCUGCACUCCAGCUCCUCUGCCAGUCUAUUUGGUGGUGAGACAUUGAGUGUCACUCCCUUCCCAGCCAGCGUUGCUGUUUAUAGGAGGUCACUUCCAAUUGCUAACCAUAGGAAAGCUUAGGCUUCACAAUAUCUCUCUGAGACCAACCCUUUCUCUUCCAUGUCAGGUUUACAGAGAGAUAGAGCGAAGCCCAGGAACACAAAGCUGAGGGCAUACCCUAAGGGCCAGUGGCACCAGACUGCACUGGCAUUUCUAAGUAUCUGUACACACACUAGUUGACUGCAAAGCAGUGUUGGGCUCACACCUGGAGGGCAGAGACCAAUUCCUCUUUCCCCAAGUUCAGACUGUACUUCUCUAAAGGAUGUUUUUGAGAGAAGAAAGACAAAGUAGACAAUCAGAAAAUUAUUCUGAACAUGUACAAUUGCCUACAAAGUGUUCAUUCUGGAUCGGUGAAAAAAGUGAUACAUUCAAAGGCAAAACAUCUGAGUUCAACUCAUAGACUAGCUAUGUGACCAUGGGAAAGCUGGUUAUCUUUCUGGUCCUCAGUUUCCCCAUUAGUAAAGGGACACUAAAUAUCUAAGCACAGGCUUGUUGAGGAGGAAAUGAGGUAAGGAAUUGCUGGGACGUGGUGGCCGGCUGGUCAUCAUCAAACCUGCCAUGCAGAGUGGGUGAUUGGGAGUCUGCCUCCAGAGUCGGCCAGCCAUUAUCAUUUGGGGGUGAAUUUGUUCUCAGCAAACCAACAGCUUUCUUAAAGAACAUGGAGACUGUGGGUGAUUAACCCAGGGCAGUAAUAGUCAUCAAAAUCUACCCGGGGCAUCUUCACAGCCCAACAGGGUCUGAGCAAGAGCAGCUGUGGGAAAAGGGGGAGAGCCUCUCAAGGGGCCUCUUUUUAAGGGAGACAUUUCCUUGAUGGUGUAAAUGCGGGUUCCUUUGCUUACAGUCUCAGUACCGUGACACCUCUCAUAUAAAAGAACAUCUAUGUAAAUGUCUACUAAGUUGUGCCCUGUGAGCCUCCAUUUUUCUGUUAACUGGGGCUGUUAGAGAGUUGAGGGUCUGUGAGUUGCUUACAACUCUGUUCCAUUCUUGUUCAAUUCUAUUUAUGAUUCUGCUUUUGGGAAUAGGAGUGUGAUGAUAUGAGCUUGCCCAGUAGCAAUUUAAGCAUAACACUAGGAAUACUACCAAACCCUUAUUGAGCCUCAUUCUUCCCCUGAGAGAGAGAGUAUUAUCAUCCCUAUUUUACAGACAAGGAAACUGAGGCACAAAGAAGUGCAGUGAUUUUUGCCAGUGUCCCACAGCAGCCAGGAAGUGGCAUAGCCUGCCUGCAAACUCAGGGAGUAUGGCUCAGAAUGCAUGCUUUGUUUUAUCAGAAGGGUUCUUAUGAGCCAACUCUUCCAGAAUAUUCUUGUCCAAUAGAAGGAAUAGAGCACCAAUUUCCCAGGCUGGGAUCUUUCUCUGAGUGCUUCUGAUUGACUUUAAAACAUAACACUGAGAGAGAUAUAGUGUAUUAAGUGGUGUUCCUCCACCCGCCAAAAAGAUUUGUCUUCCCAGAACAUGUGAAUAUUAUCAUAUUUGGAAAAGUGGUCUUUGCAGAUUCCGUUAAGAAUCUUGAAAUGAGAUCACCUAGGAUUUAAGGUGACCAGCGUGGACCCUAAAUCCAAUGACCAGUGUCCUUAGAAAAGAAGAAAAGUCACUGUAAAAUAAUGGCAGAAAUUGGAUCAAUGUGGCUACAAACCAGAAAAGAUCAAAGAUUGCUACCCCAUUACCCAAAACUAGGAGAAAGCCAUAGAACACAUUCUAUUCCAGAGACUUCGGAGAUGGUGUGGCCCUGCUAACACUGAUUUUGGACUUCUGGCCUCCACAACGUGGGAGAAUAAAUUGCAGUUGUUGUAAGCCAUCCAGUAUGGCAGUCCUGGGAAACUAACACAGGAAAGUGAGCCCUAAGAGGAAUCUUGAAGCACCAAUCUCUUCAGAAGCAUUGAGCAUCAGGGUCAAUAGUGGCAGGCUUACAGCCUUCUUCACUCAGAAACUUCUAGCCCAGUGCUCAGAAGCCACAUGAGUGGCAGAAACAUCUGCUUGCUGAGUGCUCAAGAGGGACCUUGGUUCCCAGUGGUAUCCAGGAAACCCCAAGAGUGGCCAGUUAUAAUGGCCCUCAGGAAGGCUCCUGCGUUUCAGUUAAUUUACCCUUCAGCUCACUUGAACUACAUUUCAAUCCGUUCUGGUGUAUUUUGUUUUAUACCUGCUAAAACGGAAUGGAGAGGAAGUAAGGAUGAGAGGAAGUGUAUCUGUUUGCUGAGCAUUUCACAUUAUUGGCACUGAUAUAUCUCUUGCCUGGAGACAUAUUUGAAACAAGGGUCUUUGAUUGAUGCUCUAAAGACUUUAGGACAACAAAAAGAUGUUUGAUCCCCUACUAAAUUCAGCCCUCUUUCCCAGCUUCCAUGGUUCUUGCUCAAAGGCUGAGCUACUGGGAGCUGUUGUGUGGGUUUUGUGGCUGGAAAUGAGGAAAGGAUGGCCGAAAGGCCAAGGAUUUGAAGGCCAGAAAUCUGGGCCUCAGCUCCAGCUGUUCAUCCUGGAAGUACCUACCAGACUCAUGAGACUCAAAGCCCUUACUUCAGGUUUGAGAAAACAGGCCCAGAGGGAAGCAGGGACUUGCCCAAGGCUACUUGUUUUGAUCACUGCCAAGCUGCGAUUAGAAAGCAGGACUUAGGUUGCCAGGCAGGCUUAGUGCUCCUUCCUGGUCAUCAUGAGAUGCCAGGAGCUGGACAGGCCUGCUAAAUUCUUUUUCUGGCUGCAAGUCUUGUGUCAUUUCUUGAAACCUUCAGCCUAGUGCCCUACUCUUCCUGGGACACUGAUCACAUUCCACUUGGUUAUUCAGGUCCCUUUACUAGUCCACAAGGGUCAGGGUCAGGGCCUGAGGCUGAGGUGUCUCUGGAUUCUACCCCCUGUCUAGCGCCCAGGUAGUGACUGGCAUAGAGUAGGAGCUCAGCAUACAUUUAUCAAAUGAAUGAAUGAAUGAAUGAAUGAAUGAAAGAAAGAAAGAAAAUGGAUCUCUAACAGUAAGAAGUCUUUUGUGUUAAAGUAUAUACUAAGAGCGAAUUAAAAUGGACUCAUUUUGUGUUAAAUUACAUUAGCAGUACAUUAGAAUUUCAGAUUUUAGCAGAGAAGAAAUUACAGACAAAUUCAGGCAUUCUAAUUCCUCAGGAUGUCUAACCCCCAAAGAUUUAAAGGAGAAGCAGUAGUCUAAUGUUGUCCUUCUGUUUUCCUCUUGUUCUCUUCUGCUGUUUGAGGAGCUGUGAAAUUAUCCAUGCUUGGAAAUACACUUUCUACAAUAUCAAGCCUCUUACACAAAUACACAAAAUUCAUUCUUAACUUCUAUUUUUUCUUCUUUUUUCUUUGGUAUCACAUUGUGUGGUUACUGCACCUUUUCCUCAUAUUUGAAAAGCUAAGGUCACUGAGUGGCACAGCGUCCCUGGCAUGGCUAGCUAGUAGCACCAUGGGUGCUUGUGCUUGGCCAGCUUUGCUGAGCGAAGCUUGAGCAGGACCCGGGGUGAUCUGGGUGGACUGGAUGUGGAAGAGCUCAUAGUGUGGCUUUUGGGGAAGGAUAAGCCAGUGACUGUGGGAAUAAGGAGCUCAGGAAAGGGAGGCCCCUCUCCAGAAAGUUCCUCCAGGGCAGUCAGUGGGGGCCACCCCAGAGCUCUGUCUGGUAAAGCAUUGGAGAAGCAGUGGUGUGGAGCAGUGCAGCAGAGGUGAUCAGGCAGGUGGACCCCAGAGCCAGAUGGCCAGGCUUCCUCCAUUGCCACAUUUCCUAGCCAAGAGAUGGUAGCCGAGCGGCUCAGUCCCCUCUUCUCUAAACUGAAGGCAGCAGUGUCCUGCCAGGCAAGAGAUGAAUCUCUGCACACUGGCAAAGAGCCUGGCCCCUGAUAGGCACCCUUGUAUGUGCCUUAUGAUGUGGGCAGUGUUGAGCGGCGGUUGGGGUCAUCAUGGUAGAGUAAUGAUAGCUUCUGAUUGAGUGCUUUUCCUGUGGCAAGAGUAGUAUUGCCCUCUUUUAACUCUUGAGGAAGCUGAGGCUCUGAGAGGUGAGGUAACUUGCUUGGAUUCACACAGCCAUAUUCCAGAACUGUUGAUUGAGAGGAUACAGUGAAGUAACAGUGGCCACAAAAGCCAGGUCACCAAGCUUCCAUACUCACUCCUGCCUCUUGCAAGCAAUUCAGAAGAGCAGAAUUGAGACAGUUUAUACCUCCAGCCUGCUACUCUGCUGAUCUCACCAUGACCAGAGGAAAGGUUUUCUUAAGAAGAGAUGCUCCAUGGGCUGUCAAUGAACUAUGCAGACCAUUGGCCAGCAAGAUGUUGUGGCUGAGACUAUAAAUUGUGUUUCUUUGAAGGAGGGAAAAAUUAUACCUCAUAAACCUUCCACGUCAUAUUGACUAAAACCAGCCAAGCAGCUGAUUUUCCACAUUCAUCCCCUCCCACCAGCCAUCCUGGGGAAGAGGAUUUGGAAGUAUUUUCUAGGCCACGAGAAAUCUGGAGAGGUGGAGUUUGGAGGAGAGAGAGGAGUCAUGCAGCCCUGGGUGAGGGCAGUGAGUUUUGUGACUUCCAAAUGUCAAUGAGGUGAUGAAUGCGCCUUCUAGAACCAACCCAGCAUUUGUCUAGUAUUUAAGGUGGGGUUCUUUUGAAGAGAUAAAUCAGGGCAGGUUGAAAACGAGGGAUGAAGGCCUAGCAGGAGGGAUGCUAUGUUGUCAGCCCAGUGAGAGAAACAGCUUCCUCCUCUGCAAGCAGAGGGGAAGGGACAGGCCCCUUCCUCUGUGAUGUGCAGUGAUUUUAUGGAGUCAAAUCAGUCCGAGCAAGGCCUAAUAUUCUUCUCCUGACACUGACAGCACUCAUUGCCUUCUGGUGGUGCAUUCUCUAGCCUCCCUGCCCCAGUGUCCUUCCGUUCAAAGUAUCUAAAUCAAGUACCUAUGUUUCAUAAUGAGCCUGUCUUAGACAACUUCCCAGAGGUGAGGGAAAAUGAAGAGAAACCCUCUCCUCAGGAUGACCCUAGUGAGUACUAAAGUCAACUUGGGGGGCAGAAGGUAGCACGGGUCAGUAAUCCAAACAUGUUGAAAUGAGGGGGAAGCUGGGCCAACAUGUUUAGUUUCUCCCCUGGGUGCCAACCUUGAAGAUCCUUUGUCCUCCUUCCUAGCCACAGUAAGGUUCUCCUGCCUUUGGUUGCUGCCUAUAUUCCCAGAACACAGUGUGAAAGGACU